UUCCGGUUGAUCCUGCCGGACUCCACUGCUAUCGGGGUAAGGCUAAGCCAUGCAAGUCGAAGGCCUCCGGCUCCGGGGGCCUGGCGUACGGCUGAGUAACGCGUGGCCAACCUGCCCUGCGGAGGGGGAUAACCCCGGGAAACUGGGGAUAAACCCCCAUAGGUGACCGGGUCUGGAAGGACCGGUCGCCGAAAGUCCCGGUCGGGGAUGCUCCGGCCGGGAGCCGCAGGAUGGGGCUGCGUCCUAUCAGGUAGUUGGUGGGGUAACGGCCCACCAAGCCUGUGACGGGUAGGGGCCCUGAGAGGGGGAGCCCCCAGAUGGACUCUGAGACAAGAGUCCAGGCCCUACGGGGCGCAGCAGGCGCGAAAACUCCGCAAUGGGCGAAAGCCCGACGGGGUUACCCCGAGUGCCACCCUCGUGGUGGCUUUUGCCCGCUCUAAAAAGGCGGGCGAAUAAGGGGAGGGCAAGUCGGGUGUCAGCCGCCGCGGUAAUACCCGCUCCCCGAAUGGUGGAGGCUAUUACUGGGCCUAAAGCGCCCGUAGCCGGCCCGGUGUGUCCCUCGUUAAAUCCACGGGCUUAACCCGUGGGCUGCGGGGGAUACUACCGGGCUUGGGGGUGGGAGAGGCGCCCGGUAUUCCCGG
rnacentral:rRNA from 1 species